CUAUCAUGCAGUUCGAGCGAACUGAUUAGAAGCUUGCUUCUAUGACGUUAGCGGCGGACGGGUGAGUAACACGUGGGCAACCUGCCUGUAAGACUGGGAUAACUUCGGGAAACCGAAGCUAAUACCGGAUAGGAUCUUCUCCUUCAUGGGAGAUGAUUGAAAGAUGGUUUCGGCUAUCACUUACAGAUGGGCCCGCGGUGCAUUAGCUAGUUGGUGAGGUAACGGCUCACCAAGGCAACGAUGCAUAGCCGACCUGAGAGGGUGAUCGGCCACACUGGGACUGAGACACGGCCCAGACUCCUACGGGAGGCAGCAGUAGGGAAUCUUCCGCAAUGGACGAAAGUCUGACGGAGCAACGCCGCGUGAGUGAUGAAGGCUUUCGGGUCGUAAAACUCUGUUGUUAGGGAAGAACAAGUACAAGAGUAACUGCUUGUACCUUGACGGUACCUAACCAGAAAGCCACGGCUAACUACGUGCCAGCAGCCGCGGUAAUACGUAGGUGGCAAGCGUUAUCCGGAAUUAUUGGGCGUAAAGCGCGCGCAGGCGGUUUCUUAAGUCUGAUGUGAAAGCCCACGGCUCAACCGUGGAGGGUCAUUGGAAACUGGGGAACUUGAGUGCAGAAGAGAAAAGCGGAAUUCCACGUGUAGCGGUGAAAUGCGUAGAGAUGUGGAGGAACACCAGUGGCGAAGGCGGCUUUUUGGUCUGUAACUGACGCUGAGGCGCGAAAGCGUGGGGAGCAAACAGGAUUAGAUACCCUGGUAGUCCACGCCGUAAACGAUGAGUGCUAAGUGUUAGAGGGGUUUCCGCCCUUUAGUGCUGCAGCUAACGCAUUAAAGCACUCCGCCUGGGGGAGUACGGUCGCAAGACUGAAACUCCAAAGGAAUUGACGGGGGCCCGCACAAGCGGUGGAGCAUGUGGGUUUAAUUUCGAAGCCAACGCGAAAAAACCUUUACC
rnacentral:rRNA from 1 species